UUUUUGAAUUAAUAAUUUAAAGUCUAAUCUGCCCACUGAUUAAUAAUUAAAGGGCUGCAGUAUUUUGACUGUACAAAGGUAGCAUAAUCAUUAGUCUCUUAAUUGGUGACUUGUAUGAAAGAUUUGAUGAAAUAUAAACUGUCUCUUUAUAAUUUUUAGAAUUUAAUUUUUUAGUUAAAAAGCUAAAAUAUAUUUAAAAGACGAGAAGACCCUAUAGAGUUUAAUAUUUAAUUUAUAUUAAAAAUUUUUUAUAAAAUUUAUGAUUUUGAUAAAUUUAAAUAUUUUGUUGGGGUGACAAAAAAAUUAAAAUAACUUUUUUUAUAAUUUUACAUUUAUAAAUGAAUAAAUGAUCCGUAAUUUACGAUUAUAAGAAAAAAUUACCUUAGGGAUAACAGCGUAAUUUUUUUUUUUAGUUCAAAUAAGAAAAAAAGUUUGCGACCUCGAUGUUGGAUUAAGAUAAAAUUUAAAUGCAAAAGUUUAAAAUUUUUGAUCUGUUCGAUCAUUAAAAUCUUACA
rnacentral:rRNA from 1 species